rnacentral:rRNA from 1 species
AGGGGGGGGGCCUUAUACAUGCAAGUCGAGCGCGGGAAGCGAGUGGAUCCCUUCGGGGUGAAGCUCGUGGAACGAGCGGCGGACGGGUGAGUAACACGUGGGCAACCUGCCUGUAAGACCGGAAUAACCCCGGGAAACCGGGGCUAAUGCCGGGUAAUACUUUUCUUCGCAUGAAGGAAAGUUGAAAGAUGGCUUCUUGCUAUCACUUACAGAUGGGCCCGCGGCGCAUUAGCUAGUUGGUGAGGUAACGGCUCACCAAGGCGACGAUGCGUAGCCGACCUGAGAGGGUGAUCGGCCACACUGGGACUGAGACACGGCCCAGACUCCUACGGGAGGCAGCAGUAGGGAAUCUUCCGCAAUGGACGAAAGUCUGACGGAGCAACGCCGCGUGAACGAUGAAGGUCUUCGGAUCGUAAAGUUCUGUUGUUAGGGAAGAACAAGUACCGUGCGAAUAGAGCGGUACCUUGACGGUACCUAACGAGGAAGCCCCGGCUAACUACGUGCCAGCAGCCGCGGUAAUACGUAGGGGGCAAGCGUUGUCCGGAAUUAUUGGGCGUAAAGCGCGCGCAGGCGGUUCCUUAAGUCUGAUGUGAAAGCCCACGGCUCAACCGUGGAGGGUCAUUGGAAACUGGGGAACUUGAGGACAGAAGAGGAGAGUGGAAUUCCACGUGUAGCGGUGAAAUGCGUAGAUAUGUGGAGGAACACCAGUGGCGAAGGCGACUCUCUGGUCUGUUUCUGACGCUGAGGUGCGAAAGCGUGGGUAGCAAACAGGAUUAGAUACCCUGGUAGUCCACGCCGUAAACGAUGAGUGCUAGGUGUUAGGGGGCUUCCACCCCUUAGUGCUGAAGUUAACGCAUUAAGCACUCCGCCUGGGGAGUACGGCCGCAAGGCUGAAACUCA